rnacentral:rRNA from 1 species
UCCUACGGGAGGCAGCAGUGGGGAAUAUUGCACAAUGGGGGAAACCCUGAUGCAGCGACGCCGCGUGAGCGAUGAAGUAUUUCGGUAUGUAAAGCUCUAUCAGCAGGGAAGAAAAUGACGGUACCUGACUAAGAAGCCCCGGCUAACUACGUGCCAGCAGCCGCGGUAAUACGUAGGGGGCAAGCGUUAUCCGGAUUUACUGGGUGUAAAGGGAGCGUAGACGGUCCUGCAAGCCAGAUGUGAAAGCCCGGGGCUCAACCCCGGGACUGCAUUUGGAACUGUACGGCUAGAGUGUCGGAGAGGCG